rnacentral:rRNA from 1 species
GAUGAACGCUGGCGGCGUGCUUAACACAUGCAAGUCGAACGAACAGAGGAGAGCUUGCUCUCCAAAGUUAGUGGCGGACGGGUGAGUAACGCGUGGGUAACCUGCCUCAUGCAGGGGGAUAACAUCUGGAAACGGAUGCUAAUACCGCAUAAACUAUGGAUGACCGCAUGGUCAUUAUAGCAAAGAUUUAUCGGCAUGAGAUGGACCCGCGUUGGAUUAGCUAGUUGGUGAGAUAACAGCCCACCAAGGCGACGAUCCAUAGGGGUUCUGAGAGGAAGGUCCCCCANACUGGUACUGAGACACGGACCAGACUCCUACGGAGCAGCAGUGAGGAAUAUUGGGUCAAUGGGCGAGAGCCUGAA